CUUUUUAAAUGUCAGCUCAGUGGUGGUUGGAGUUGGAAAAGGCUAUUCACCAGAACAGGUAGUUUCCAAAUGAAGUGUGGGUGUCAUUUGUUUUUUGUUUUUUUUUUUGUUUUUUUCCAUUUUUGUUUGCCUCUUUCUCUUUUUUUGUGCUCUUACAUGUCACCUUAUUGAGCCCUCUAGGGCUGCUGCCCAUCUGAACCCCACUGUCAUUUCCAGCUGCCGUCACCUUCCAUUUCUCUUGGCAGUUUUUGUUGCCCAGGGCAUUUCCUUUCCCCUGUUGCCCUUGGCGCAGCUCUGUCUUCCUAAUCCUCCUUGCGAUUGCCUUUCUGUUCAGUUGUGUUCUUGUUACUUACUUUUUGUUUGUUCUUUGAUAUUCAUUUUCUUGUGAACUGGUUUCUGAUUGCUCUUCAGCCUGGGCCCUGUUCUAGCUUGGUACAGUAAGUACUGUCAGAGCCACCUGUGUGCCACACAGGUUUUUAGGUUUACCAUUUUAUUGUAGGGACUUAUUCAUGGUUUUACUUUUGCUUCUUUCUUUCAUUUAAGUUUUAAAAAUAUAGCUUAAAGGAAUAAGGAAUAAGAUUCAAUAUAUUCUAGUAAUGCAUACAAUUUGAUUUAUUGCCAUUUGGCUGACAAGAUUUUUGCAUAUUACAAAGUGAGUGUUUGCUACUUAGUUUCUGAUGGUUAAGAUUUGAUAUUUGGUGGUCCUGUAUUUUACUCCAAGUUGCAGAUCUGAAGUGGGGUCAAGAGCUCAUUGGGGCUGGAGAAUCUGCUUCUAAGUUGUUUCUUAAGUCAUCACCAUCUUUAUUAUUAUUUAGACUUAAACCAAUUUAUAUGUAUUAGUGUUUUGCUUUGCAUCAGAUGCGUGUCUGGUGCCUGUGGAGGCCAGAAGAGGGCAUCAGAUGGCCUGGAACUUGAGUUACAGAUGACUGUAAGCCACCACGUGGGUUCUGGGAAUCAAACCUGGGUACUCUGCAGUAGUAACAAGUGUUCUCAAUUGCUGAGCCAUCUCUCCUCUGCUAAGUUUCCUUAAGCGGUUUCAUUAAGCGGUUUUGUUUACCCACUGAUGUUUUCCAGUUCCUUCUACCUUGGCUUUUGUUAAUUUGUCCCAGAAGGAGAACUCUUGAGAGAGCAGGUAAACGGGAGCGCUUAAGUACUAUCCUCUGUGUUUGAUAAUUGCUCAGACAUGCUAUUCCAUCCUUUUCCAUAUUCUGUUGGUGACAGAGACCAAUCCUGAGCUUGCAUAAGGGAACUAGAUAGACAGGUAUCAUUGGAAUCAGUCUCUCCACACAGUCACCAAAUGGUUCUUGUUCAUCCACAUGCAAAAUAUACUUGUCCUAGAAGUGUCAUCUUAGAGCACCAUCCACAGUGAGACAUCUGAACCUGGUUCUGACGUGGAUGAGCGUCUUAGGAUGUUUAGCAUCUUGUGAUAGAUGAGUGCUGUCCGAGUGCGGAGAGGCUCAAGCACUAGGAUGGGUGUCUCCCAUACAUCUAAGAUGCCAUAGAGAGACAUAGCCGGCCUAACUACUGGAGGAGCCAUUGGUCCACUACAGUUCUGAAACUGAAUGGCAACUGCAGGAUGGUCUUGAUUAGGUCUCAGGCCUGGGAUAAUUCUCCAUGGCUCCGUGCCUGCCCUCUAGGCUCUGAUUCCACCGUCUGAGUGGCCCCAGAAAGCAUGUGCUUCACAGCUGAUUACCUUCCUUAUUCUACUUCCUGUCAAUAGAGUUUUAGGGGCUCAAAGACUUCCUUUUGUCUUUCUUCCGCCCCUUUCAGUUCAAGUUGGCUAUGUCUGCCGAAGUGUUUUUUUCUAAAAACUUUCUGGGUCUUUGGUGAAUUUUUUGGUGGAUUCCUUUAUAUUAGUUAAAAACCACAGACUCCAAAAACCUCUGAAAUUAGCUGUUUCAGUACUUUAAGUUUUUUCAUACAGUACUCUUAAUUAAACUUUAUUGUUUGAUUAAUUGGAUUUGUGAGGCACACCCUUACUUUCUUUGUUACACCUUUUGUUUGAACGAAUUGUGCCUUUGAUCUGCCUGAAGGUUUUUCAGUCAGACAUUGAUUCUAUCUCAGGCCUAGGAUUUGGGCUCUGUCCAGAACUUACUUAAUUUCAGCAUUGCUUUACAUUUAGAAGGCCAAAAAAAAAUUUUUUUUUUAAAUCACCAACAUUCUGUCUCAUUUUUGUUUAAUAGCUCUUUCUACAUUUAUCUCUUCUUAAGUAAGUGGUAAAAACAAAGCAGAACAAACAAGCUGCUCUUUGAGCACAGAAGUCUUAGCAGCAUCAUUUUCAGCAGUUGGAGUACCAGCAGCAGUGGUGCUGAUCAAGUCUCUCCCUUACGGGACAAGGAUGCCCUUGUACUUUCCUGCAGCGUUACCUGCCUUCCCUCCUGGCCUUUGCUUGAAUCCUGAUUCAAGACCAUGGAGCUUCAGCCAGUAAUGUUUUUGCAGCCCGUGGGUUUUCUUUUGCAAUCCUCAAAGCCUGCUUUGUGAUUCAAAAGCUAUUUCCAGAGUUCUGGUGCCACUUCCUUUACAGAGGCUAAGAUUUGUAUUAGUCUGUUGCUACAUAACAGAAUAUCCUGUUUCUUAGGAGGAGAAAACAAUAUGCCUUUGUUACUUCACACAAUGUCAGAGUGACAGGGAUCAGAGGGGGUUGGCUGGGUGGUUCUGGCUCUAGCUUCUUGCUAGGUGGCAAGCAAGCUGCCAUCUAGAACUGCACUCACCUCACGGAUUAGCUGAGCUUCCUAACUCACUCAUGUGAUUGCACCAUAUAUAAGCUCACACAAAGGGGGGCCAGGAGGCAGGAUCAUUUCAGACCAUAUUGGAGGCUAGGUAUCUCAGUUACUGCAUGCUUUUUUUCACUUAAGUGAGCUGGGAGCCACGCUGUACUUGCUCCCUCACCAUUUCUCCUGUAACUAGCCCACCUUUGAGCCAUACACAUUCUGCUUCUAACACUUCUCAUGUUCCUUCUUCCCCAUAUUCUGUUGGUUUACGAGAACAGCUCUGUGUUUCACCUGUGCUGUUUUAGGAUGCUCCCCUUCUUGGUUAUCCUCCAUCCUUCCCCAGUCUUAAAAGUUCAGAUGUAAGGAACCAAGCUUGAUUCCUAUAGCUAUGAGAGAAACACGUGGGAGUCGGAGGCAGGAGGAUCUGGAGUUUGCCAGCCUUGGUAUAGAUAACUUGCAGGCUGUCCUGGGCUACCUAUGAGGCCUUGUUUCAGAAGAAUAACAAAACAAAACAAAAUGAAGAUACAGAGCUAAGGAGUUUGGGGAAGCACAUCUACUCAGGGUUUGCCUAGCUAGAGAGUCCCUGAGUACAGCUCUCAUUGCCUGCGAGUAGGACAGAGGGCACAUCCCUUGGCAUGUCAUGAGCUACCCUUUUUCUACUUCUUAGAUCCUAUUUCUUCCUGACACAAACAUUAUUCUUCAUCCAUACUGAACUACUUAGGAGUUCCCAGCUAUGCCAAGCACUUGAUUCACUGCUUCCAAUCUUUGAGUAAUGAAGACAUCCUUUGUGUAGCUCUAAGUGACCCUAAGCGGAGCGUUGUGCCACCCCUGAACCUUGUACUGGAUUUAUUUACUUACGCUUAUGGUUUCUUUGCUUGAGAAGGAAGUAGUUCAGGCAGGAAUGGUAAUUUAUUUAUCUUCAUAGCCCUGGUAUCUAGUACUGUUUCUUGGCACAUAAUGGUAGUAAAUAUUUGUUAAAUUGAAUUGAAGUUUGAUAUCUAGGCCAGACAAGUCUUUUGUCGUUGUUUUAUUUUGAUGUUGGGAAUUGAACCUAGGGCCAGUGGGUGACAUACUAAACAUGCUUUCUACUGAGGCCAACUCCUCACCCUGGAUCAGGAACCCUAAGACAUCUGGUUCUUCUCUAGAAUAUAAUGCUGAUGAAGAGUUUGACGAACUGUGUUUUGAAUUUGGUCUGGAACUUGAUGAAAUUACUUCUGAAAAGCAAAUCAUAAGCAAGGAACAAGGUCAUGGGAAGGCACAGGGGGCCUCAGAUGUUGUGCUUUACAAGAUUGACGUCCCUGCCAACAGAUACGACCUCCUGUGUCUGGAAGGACUGGCUCGGGGCCUCCAGGUCUUCAAAGAAAGGAUCAAAGCUCCGGUAUAUAAGCGAGUGAUGCCCAAGGGAGACAUCCAAAAGCUGGUUAUCACAGAAGAGACAGCCAAAGUGCGCCCUUUUGCUGUAGCAGCAGUUCUCCGGAAUAUCAAGUUCACUAAAGACCGAUAUGACAGCUUCAUUGAACUUCAGGAGAAACUACACCAGAAUAUCUGCAGGAAAAGAGCGUUGGUUGCUAUUGGAACUCACGACUUGGACACUUUAUCAGGCCCAUUUACUUACACCGCGAAACGUCCUUCAGAUAUCAAAUUCAAGCCUCUGAAUAAGACCAAGGAGUAUACAGCUUGUGAAUUAAUGAACAUAUACAAGACUGACAACCACCUUAAACAUUAUUUACAUAUCAUUGAAAGUAAGCCCCUGUAUCCAGUUAUCUAUGACAGCAAUGGUGUGGUCCUGUCGAUGCCUCCGAUUAUAAAUGGGAAUCAUUCAAAAAUAACAGUAAAUACUAGGAAUAUAUUUAUUGAAUGCACAGGGACUGACUUCACUAAAGCAAAAAUCGUGCUUGACAUUAUUGUCACCAUGUUCAGUGAACACUGUGAAAAUCAGUUUACAGUUGAAGCAGUUGAAGUAGUUUCUCCUAAUGGAAAAUCAAGUACCUUUCCAAUACCAAAUAUGAAUGUAGCCAGACUGGUAUCAAACUCACGAGCCUCCUGCUUUAGCCCUCAGUGCUGUGACCCAGGAGCUGCCUUACAGAAAGGAGAUGGUGAGAGCUGAUUUAAUUAACAAGAAAGUUGGAAUCAGAGAAACUCCUGCAAAUCUCGCCAAGCUCCUGACCAGGAUGUGUCUGAAGUCAGAAGUCAUAGGUGACGGCAAUCAGAUUGAGGUUGAAAUUCCUCCGACCAGAGCAGAUGUCAUCCAUGCAUGUGACAUUGUGGAGGACGCAGCUAUUGCUUAUGGCUAUAACAACAUUCAGAUGACUCUGCCGAAAACGUACACCAUAGCUAAUCAAUUUCCUCUCAACAAGCUCACCGAGCUCCUCAGACUUGACAUGGCUGCGGCUGGCUUCACCGAAGCACUGACUUUUGCUCUGUGCUCCCAAGAAGAUAUUGCUGACAAGCUUGGCCUGGAUAUCUCUGCAACAAAGGCAGUGCACAUAAGUAAUCCUAAAACCGCUGAGUUCCAGGUGGCGCGCACUACCCUUCUUCCUGGCCUUCUAAAGACCAUUGCAGCAAACCGGAAGAUGCCCCUUCCUCUCAAACUGUUUGAAAUCUCUGACGUUGUAGUAAAAGAUUCUGGCAAAGAUGUAGGUGCGAAAAACUACAGGCAUCUCUGUGCUGUUUAUUACAACAAGACUCCCGGGUUUGAGAUCAUCCAUGGCUUGCUGGACAGAAUUAUGCAGCUGCUCGAUGUGCCUCCUGGUGAGGAAAGCGGGGGCUACAUGAUCAAAGCGUCUGCAGGUUCUGCCUUUUUCCCUGGACGGUGUGCUGAGAUCUUUGUUGGAGGUCAAAGCAUUGGGAAGCUAGGCGUCCUUCAUCCUGAUGUUAUCACCAAAUUUGAGCUGACCAUGCCCUGUUCCUCUCUGGAAAUCAAUAUUGAGCCCUUUUUGUGAGGUUGGUCUCUGAGUGUCCCUUUCUGCUCCUGUGGUGUCCUUCAGCCCUCUUUUACAGCACAUAUCCAUUUGUGCGUUAAUGUUUAAUAAAGUGAAAUGUGCUAUCUGA